rnacentral:rRNA from 1 species
UACGUAGGGGGCAAGCGUUGUCCGGAAUCAUUGGGCGUAAAGAGCGCGUAGGCGGCCCUGUAAGUCCGCUGUGAAAGUCAAGGGCUCAACCCUUGAAUGCCGGUGGAUACUGCAGGGCUAGAGUCCGGAAGAGGCGAGUGGAAUUCCUGGUGUAGCGGUGAAAUGCGCAGAUAUCAGGAGGAACACCAAUGGCGAAGGCAGAUCUCUGGGCCGUAACUGACGCUGAGGAGCGAAAGCAUGGGGAGCGAACAGG